AUGAAAAUAAUUAGCUGGAACUGCCGAGGUCUGGGUCAACAUCAGACAGUCCAAGAGUUGGUGUGCCUCUCAAAGACACACCAACCGGACAUUAUCUUUCUUUCUGAAACAAGGAAAAAAGAGUAUGUUGAGAGUUUGCUCUAUCGCUUUGGUAUGAAAAAUGUGUUUGUUGUUUCUGUGCCAGGAAAAGGUGGUGGUGUAGCAUUUUUUUGGGAUGACCUUUAUUCUCUGCAACUGAACAAAUAUGGUGAACAUUUUAUUGAUAUGUACAUUUGCAAAGAAGAUGGCAGUAAGCGGAGAAGUACCUUUGUCUAUGGUGAACUAAGGGCAAGCCAAAGGUAUGUGAUGUGGGAAUUGUUAAGGCGUAUUAAACCGCUUGGGACCUGA
rnacentral:rRNA from 1 species